GGAAUUUUCCACAAUGGACGAAAGUCUGAUGGAGCAACGCCGCGUGCAGGAUGAAGGCUUUAGGGUCGUAAACUGCUUUUAUAUGUGAAGACAUCGACGGUAGCAUAUGAAUAAGGAUCGGCUAACUCCGUGCCAGCAGCCGCGGUCAUACGGAGGAUCCAAGCGUUAUCCGGAAUUACUGGGCGUAAAGAGUUGCGUAGGUGGCAUAGUAAGCAGAUAGUGAAAUCGUGGGGCUCAACCUCAUACACAU
rnacentral:rRNA from 1 species